rnacentral:rRNA from 1 species
GACGAACGCUGGCGGCGUGCUUAACACAUGCAAGUCGAACGGAAAGGCCCUGCUUUUGUGGGGUGCUCGAGUGGCGAACGGGUGAGUAACACGUGAGUAACCUGCCCUUGACUUUGGGAUAACUUCAGGAAACUGGGGCUAAUACCGGAUAGGAGCUCCUGCUGCAUGGUGGGGGUUGGAAAGUUUCGGCGGUUGGGGAUGGACUCGCGGCUUAUCAGCUUGUUGGUGGGGUAGUGGCUUACCAAGGCUUUGACGGGUAGCCGGCCUGAGAGGGUGACCGGCCACAUUGGGACUGAGAUACGGCCCAGACUCCUACGGGAGGCAGCAGUGGGGAAUAUUGCACAAUGGGCGGAAGCCUGAUGCAGCAACGCCGCGUGCGGGAUGACGGCCUUCGGGUUGUAAACCGCUUUCGCCUGUGACGAAGCGUGAGUGACGGUAAUGGGUAAAGAAGCACCGGCUAACUACGUGCCAGCAGCCGCGGUGAUACGUAGGGUGCGAGCGUUGUCCGGAUUUAUUGGGCGUAAAGGGCUCGUAGGUGGUUGAUCGCGUCGGAAGUGUAAUCUUGGGGCUUAACCCUGAGCGUGCUUUCGAUACGGGUUGACUUGAGGAAGGUAGGGGAGAAUGGAAUUCCUGGUGGAGCGGUGGAAUGCGCAGAUAUCAGGAGGAACACCAGUGGCGAAGGCGGUUCUCUGGGCCUUUCCUGACGCUGAGGAGCGAAAGCGUGGGGAGCGAACAGGCUUAGAUACCCUGGUAGUCCACGCUGUAAACGGUGGGUACUAGGUGUGGGGUCCAUUCCACGGGUUCCGUGCCGUAGCUAACGCUUUAAGUACCCCGCCUGGGGAGUACGGCCGCAAGGCUAAAACUCAAAGGAAUUGACGGGGCCCCGCACAAGCGGCGGAGCAUGCGGAUUAAUUCGAUGCAACGCGUAGAACCUUACCUGGGUUUGACAUGGAUCGGGAGCGCUCAGAGAUGGGUGUGCCUCUUUUGGGGUCGGUUCACAGGUGGUGCAUGGCUGUCGUCAGCUCGUGUCGUGAGAUGUUGGGUUAAGUCCCGCAACGAGCGCAACCCUUGUUCACUGUUGCCAGCACGUUAUGGUGGGGACUCAGUGGAGACCGCCGGGGUCAACUCGGAGGAAGGUGGGGAUGACGUCAAGUCAUCAUGCCCCUUAUGUUCAGGGCUUCACGCAUGCUACAAUGGCUGGUACAGAGAGUGGCGAGCCUGUGAGGGUGAGCGAAUCUCGGAAAGCCGGCCUCAGUUCGGAUUGGGGUCUGCAACUCGACCUCAUGAAGUCGGAGUCGCUAGUAAUCGCAGAUCAGCAACGCUGCGGUGAAUACGUUCCCGGG